rfam:Acetivibrio ethanolgignens strain ACET-33324 ACET-33324.Scaf29, whole genome shotgun sequence.
GGACCUGUAGUUCAGUUGGUGAGAACGACCGGCUCAUAACCGGUAAGUCGUAGGUUCGAGUCUUACCAGGUCCA